GUCUACCGCUGUGCCACCCUGAACAAGCCUGAUCUCAUCUGACUGAUCUCUGAAGCUAAGCAGGGUUGGGCCUGGUUAGUACUUGGAUGGGAGACCAUCUAGGAAGACCAGGCGCUGUAGGUG
rnacentral:rRNA from 1 species